AUUAGUUUCAAUUAUUUCCCGGCUUUGUAUUCUGAUCACAGUUUGAUUUCAAGCCUUGUUCAGAGUUCGAAGAUAAUUUCUGGAAUGUUAAGCAUUGGACCGAAAUUAAAGAUCUGGUUUCAAUCAGAUUGUUUUCUGAUGGAUGAUUGGCAGAUGGAUGAGGUGGAAUAAUUUUCUGUACCUUUGUUAGAUAAUCAGGGACAUUGAUGACUACAACAAUAUGGUAAUGUUAUACUGUGUGUAGUCGGCCAGUAUGUAGAAAUGUAUAUUCUGUACCUCACAAGCCAUCACAUGGUACAAGGGCUGAUUGAUAUGUUGUGAGCCUCGUAUUGAAGGAUUUGAAUUUUGCUGGACAUAUUGUAUUAUUUUUCAACAUAAUCCGCUUCAGAAUCUAUAAACUUUUGUCAGCAGUGUUUAAGGGCCUCAAUGUCACUUUUAUAGAACUCCCUUUUCUUGGCUGUUCAGAAAGUCAUCCACUGCAUGUAUAACAUAAUCAUCAAACUGAAAGUGGGUACCUGAAAUAGCUGUUUUCAAUUUUGGAAAUAGAUGAAAGUCUGAUGGAGUGAGAACAGGUGAACAGCCAUGGCAGUGACUGACUCUUCCACUAUAACCCUAACCAAUUUUGUCGAUUUUGCAAAAGCCGCUUGUCUUGUUUAUUUAGAGUGCUACAUGUACCUCUGUCGAUAUAAACUAACCAAAUGAGACCAGUCCUUGAGUACACGGUCCUAUAUAGUCGGAGAAUAGUAAGACUUAAAAAGAACAUCCUUGAGUACCUCCUUCAAUACGAGGCUCACAACUUAUCAAUCAACCCUCGUACUGGUAUUCACUUUCCGUCCUUAAUUUUUAUGUACACUGUCUUUCAUGUUGAUGAAAUAUUACCAGGGAAAAAUAUAUUUUUAUUGUGGCGGAGGGGUGAAUGAAUAUACGACUAUUGCAUUGUAUGACCGUAGUGAUGAAGUUUUGGUGGAGUCAGAGAAAGGGUGAAUUUGCCAGAAAUAAAACUGACCUUUCUCUUUCAGUCAGUGAUGAUGGAUUACUCAGUCUUCAUCUGUGACGAUCCAGAUACCAUUCUUAUCACAGGAACUUGGCAUGAAUUCCACACCUAUGGUCCAUAUUUAUAUGUAUUGUGUGUGUAAUGGAAUAUGAUUUUAUGGAUUGUGAAUUCAUGCCGAGUCCGUGAUUUGUAUUAGUGCUAAUUCUGAUGGGACACACAUGUACAUUUGUAUAUUCCCCACGGAGCCUAGCUAUGCACAUCAUAUUUUAGGACUGAUAAGAAUCAUGCAGCCAUCUUAAAUUUAGAGAAUUAUAAUAAGUUGGGCUAUUUCUCAGAAAUUAUUUUGAUAAGGUAGAAAAAUAUAUUACAUUUUCAGUUUUGUAUCAUACACUGAUUGGUUUUCAUUUGAUCAGGUGUUUUUCCAUUUCACAUCGAAUUGCAAUCUUUGAUAGUGAUAAAACAUUGUAUUGCAUACUCAUACAAGUGUUCUUUGGUGUCACAUGAUUUCAGACAAUAUCAGAUUUGUCAGACACAUUCUGCCAAGUUGCAUGAGAGUGCAAUACAAUGUUUUAUCAAAGAUGCAGUAUUUAUGUGGUGAAUAUUAUGGAAUGAGAUGCAAUUUACAUAUGUAAAUGGAAUCAUACCUGCCUGUGCUCUGAUUUUUAUACAGAAUUGUAAUAAAACAGUUAUGAGACUUUGUUUCUAUUGAUAUCAUGAUUUAUGGAGCUCAGAUAACUAAUAUUAACCUCGUUCCCCAACCUCGGUCGCUGCAUAAAUCAUAUUGAUAGAAACAAAAGUGCCAUACUUGUAAUUGUAUAGUAUGAUUAUCAUUUAAGUUAUCCCUGACUGAAGUGCAAGAAUAUAAUAAUUACAUAUACUGUCAUUUCUAUUUUCGGUGACUUAUUAAAUCAAAGGUGUUUAGCAUACUUUCUUUCUUUGACUAAUGAGCAUGCUAAAUUUGAUUAGAUAUCAUAAUUGCUUUAACAUAUAAAUGUAAUUAUAAAUCACAGCUAUGUAUUUGACGUCAGCAAUUCAGGUACAGUAAAAUCUCUCUAAACACAGUUCUCCCUAAAUCUGGUAUUCUCUCCAUUCCUUUCAAAUAUAUUACUUGUAGCAAACUUGGUCAUUCAGACUUCUCUUCAAAGUAGUGAAAAUUUUAGUUGAAUGGGUCUCUGGUUUAGAGAAAAUCUGCUGUACUCUGCUGUAAAAAUGAUCACAACAAACUGUACAAAUGUAGAAAGUGUACUAUCUUAUUUGCUCCGAGUUAGAAAAAAAAGUAGAAGUUUCAUAGUCUGAAUUGUGUUAGAGGAGAGUGUUUCUGUCGUACAUUAGUGAGUGAUUGAGACAUUUGCCUGCCAAUUUGUCUGAUGUCCUGUUUACCUUUAAUAAAUGCCCCUGUUUGUAGAACGGUGACGUUAAGGGGGAGAUAAGCUACAGAUGUAGUAGUAGAAUGCAGUUGAACGGUACUUUACCAAGUUUUAAUUAUUGCUAGAAUCUAGUCUAUCUUAGAAACCAAAACACAUUCCAUAUUUGUGACCAAAAUUAUUUUCUUAUAUUUUAUAGAAAAACUGUCCAAUUUGUUCCAGUUGGAGGAGCUUAUCACAUAAACAAACACUUAAAAACAAUUAGGUGAACUAAUUUAGGAUUUAGUAUAGGCCUAGUCUGAGGAUUCUAUCUGCUUCAAUAUUAGCACUAUCUGACAACCACUGUGAGGUGAAUACCCCACCAGACUGACUGACAACCACUGUGAGGUGAAUACCCCACCAGACUGACUGACAACCACUGUGAGGUGAAUACCCCACCAGACUGACUGACAACCACUGUGAGGUGAAUACCCCACCAGACUGACUGACAACCACUGUGAGGUGAAUACCCCACCAGACUAACUGACAACCACUGUGAGGUGAAUACCCCACCAGACUGACAACCACUGUGAGGUGAAUACCCCACCAGACUGACUGACAACCACUGUGAGGUGAAUACCCCACCAGACUAACUGACAACCACUGUGAAGUGAAUACCCCACCAGACUGACUGACAACCACUGUGAGGUGAAUACCCCACCAGACUGACUGACAACCACUGUGAGGUGAAUACCCCACCAGACAGACUGACAACCACUGUGAGGUGAAUACCCCACCAGACAGACUGACAACCACUGUGAGGUGAAUACCCCACCAGACUGACAACCACUGUGAGGUGAAUACCCCACCAGACUGACUGACAACCACUGUGAGGUGAAUGCCCCACCAGACUGACAACCACUGUGAGGUGAAUACCCCACCAGACUGACAACCACUGUGAGGUGAAUACCACUGCGAGGUCAAUGACCACCAGACUUACAACCACUGCGAGGUCAAUGACCACCAGACUGAGUGUAUGUUAUGUUUGAUUUGUUGUUACUCUGUACUUGCAAAAAACUAAACCUGUCAACAUAUAAAUGAAAGCAGCACUAAUUCCAACAAUAAAAAGAUCCUUAACUCGCCGAUCUGCUUGUAUAAUCUUCAGUCUUCUUACCAAAGCCUUACAGAUAUGCAAAUGAAAGUUCUUUUUCCCACCCAUAUUUCACAAGGAAACUAUUGCCGUAUAUUAAGGGCACUGCUUUUGUGUUUGUAAGUGCUGAGUGUGCUGAUACUUUAUUAGGUUAAAUACGGUAUUUGUAUUGUUUACUAUACACAUAAGGACACAUUGAUUAGUUACUUAAUUAUCUUAAAUAUAUAUGUUAUUUGUUUUUUAAAAUUAUGUUGUAUUUUGAAAGGAUAUAUAAAUAUAGAUGGAUUACAGAAAAAUCGCCUUGACUUGUUAAUAAACGCAUUCAUAUGCGACUGAUUUGACUACCAUAUUCCAGUGUCACAUUGUCCACUCAUUCAGAUCUUGGAUUUAACAAAUUAACUAUGAGUACUGACAUGUUACAAAGGGUCCUGCUAUGAAGGUGUCUCUAAACCUGAACAAUUUUUGAAUUUAACUGCUUCUGAUAUCUACAAAUAAGACUGUACUCAAUACAUUUAAUAACUUUAAAAACACUCGCACAUGUGGAAUAAACUCAAUGCUUUUUGAUUGGUCGACAUGGUGACCUUUGACUGGGACUAUUCUUUUAUCACAUGCUUCAAAGGAUUUUGAUUGGCUAAUGCUUGAAGGCCGCUUCACAUGUUUCCGGAAAUGAUAAUGCACAAGAAGUAGUUUACAGUUGUUUUUGUCAUAUUUAAAAAAUUAAUAUAUAGAAAUAUAUCAAUCUAUUGUUUUGAAAAUAAACUUGCUUUCAGUUAUUAUUUACUAUGAUUUGUAAUAAAUUGUAAUAUUUCCACACAUUUCCGAAAUUGUCAGUUUUGCAUAUUGAUUAGCACUUUAAGUCUUAUCCUAACACCCCAACUGAUACUGUGAAAAGAAAGCUCAUUGACACUAAACCUAAUUUAUCCUCAAAACAGUUUUUCUAUUGUGGUAGAAACAGGUCACAGAAUCUCCUAGAUGUUGUACUCGUUAUUUAGUCACUCAAGUAUGUAACCUCUAUUUAUCUGACUAGAUAAAGCCUUAUAAAAGAUGAGAAAAGUCACUAUGUUAGAGAGAUGUUUUUAUUAUAAAAUCACUGCUGAAUGUUGAGAAUUCUGAAACUGAUAAGACAAUACAGAUAAGUGGUUUGUUAAGGUCAUCAGAUGGACAGUGUACUACCAUUCACCGUUUAUUAUAGGCUUUUAUUUAUGAUAAAGAGUAAAACAAAAGAAUUGAGUACUUAAUGAUACAGGACUCAUACAGCUUGUAUUUAAAACUUUACAUCAACCAACACAUGUUCAUUCAUUCUUCACCAUUCGUAUUAAAUACUUCCACACAGAAUCACAAAAAUAAAGUGUAUAAAAUCCACUCUCAUUUCUUAUAAUGUUUACAAUUAACAGUUUUAUAGCAUCACUUCAGUUUUUUGUUUGAUAUCAAUUCAUGUGGAGAUUUUAAGUCUUCUGCAGAAAAAAUAUAAAAAAAAUACAAAAUAAAACAAAUUUUGUGAACAUACAUGUACAUGGUAUAUCACCUGGUAUAUUUGUUUGUUUGCUGAAUUUACCAUCCUGAGAUGAGCAAGGGUCAAUUUGUGGUGGGAUCUUGUAGUAGUUGGUGACUACCUCAAUGAAAAACAUACAGGAGGCUUGUUGUGUGCCAUUCAUUAAGGUACACGGACACAACUAUGACAGCACAGACGGUCCAUUUCUCAGGUUGUCGAGUGGUAGGGAGCACCAAACCAUGUAGCUCAGAUCUUCACCUGAGGUUACAUGACGACCACUCUAACUGACUGAGCUAUCAUGGCCCCACCUGGUGUACAGCUAUAUUGCAACUUGCCAAACAUCUUAAUAUUUAUAUUACUAUAAAAAAAAAAAAAAAAUACAAUGUACUACAUGUAACAUAAAGGAUUUAGCAAUCAUGCUUAUUUUCACAUCUUUAGGUUUACAAUCUAUUUUCUUGAUUCAUGCAUCCACUAGGGGCUGGUGUAUACUAAAUGUAUAUAUUUAAAAAAAAAAAA